CUUUGGAAAGUUUGGCAUCAGCAGAUUCCUUCUCCUCCUUUAACUGAUGAUCUUUAUUUCGAAGCUCAGCAUCCUUCUCUCGAACAAGCUCCUUCAGCUGUAUUACCAGCUGCUCAGUACUCGCCAGCUGUUCAGUCAAAUCCGUCACCGACAUGUUUCUUGCAUCUUGAGAGCCCGCAGCAACUGCUUUGGAUGGAGAAUCAUCUCCACUACCCCAUUUCCACAUAGUUUCCAGAUGGCUGCGGGUGCCGGUGGGCGGGCGAGCCGCGCCGGGCCCCGCGCGGCGCUACCACCUCCUCCGCCUCCGCCUCGGCACGGCCCCGCAGCGCCCGGCG
rnacentral:lncRNA from 1 species